rnacentral:rRNA from 1 species
CAGUAGCCACGGUAAUACGUAGGGUGCGAGCGUUAAUCGGAAUUACUGGGCGUAAAGCGUGCGCAGGCGGUUGUGUAAGACAGAUGUGAAAUCCCCGGGCUUAUCCUGGGAACUGCAUUUGUGACUGGCGAGCUAGAGUAUGGCAGAGGGGGGUAGAAUUCCACGUGUAGCAGUGAAAUGCGUAGAGAUGUGGAGGAAUACCGAUGGCGAAGGCAGCCCCCUGGUCCAUUACUGACGCUCAUGCACGAAAGCGUGGGGAGCAAACAGGAUUAGAUACCCCUGUAGUCCCUGUCUCUUAUAC